AGGUAGAUAAUAAAUAGUAGCUACUUUAAUGGUUUUUUAUGUAGUUAGAACCACUCAAACUGAGAAGGUUCUGAAGAACAUUAGCAAAGAGAGCAGAUUUAGGGGUUGUUCGAGAACAGUCCUGCCCCGAGGCAGAAGGAUGGACACUUGAGGUGAAGAUCUGAGGCCCAAGCCUGCCUUGGGGUUCUAGGUUUCUGGGUUCCCAUUGCCCGUGGGAUGUAGUUGUCCCCUAAUGACUGGGGAAGGGCAGGCAAGAUGAGGAGGCUGUGACAGGCUGAGUUAGAUACCGUGCUGUCUGGAAGCAGCAACAUGGACAAGAAGACUUUCUACCUGGUUACAAGUUCACAGCCACAGGGGUUUCCACAAGUAGGUGACCAUUGGCACCAAAGUCAACUAAAUAAUUGUCUAUGGCCAUUUUAGGUUUACCAAUCGCAACUUCGUCUUCUCACUCUCACCUUCUGUCUUCUUCUUUUUUUUUUUUUUUUAGACAAGAGUCUCACUCUGUCGCCCAGGCUGGAGUGUACUGCAACCCCCACUAAACUUCCCAGGUUCAAGCAAUUCUCCUGCCUCAGCCUCAUGAGUAGCUGGGAUUCCAGGCGCACACUGCCACGCCCAGCUAAGUUUUGUAUGUUUAGUAGAGACAGGGUUUCGCCAUGUUGGCCAGGCUGGUCUCGAACUCCUGACCUCAAGCAAUCCACCUGCCUUGGCCUCACAAAGUGCUGGGAUUACAGGCAUGAGCCACUGCGCCUGGCCACCUUCUCCUGUCUUCUUCUGAUCUCUUACCUGGUUUUGUUUUGAUUUCUUUCUUUUUCCUUCCUACCUGUGGCUUAGUAAGACCUUUGGGGGCACCUGCUUACUCAGUGUCUCUGGUCCUUGCUGAGAUGGAGUCUGGCUUUAGAAUCCCUCAAAGCCUGAGCCACAUGAGAGGCCUCCCUCCUCCACAGAAAGAGUAAGGGCUGAGGUGCCGGGUCCACCCUGGAUCCUCAACCCUCCACUACAGCCAACACUGCAGAGCCCCUUGUGU
rnacentral:lncRNA from 1 species